rnacentral:lncRNA from 1 species
CUGAGAUUGAUCCAUAUGACUUGAAAGGCAGGGCACCGUCAACUGUCAAAGGAAAGAUCGAGUUCAAAGCUGUUAGCUUUGCAUAUCCAUCCAGACCCAAUGUUCAAAUUCUACACUCACUCAAUCUAGUGGUUCAACCUUUCAAGACUCUGGCAUUGGUUGGAGCCAGUGGAGGUGGCAAGUCCACUAUUUUUGCUCUCAUAGAGAGGUUUUAUGACCCAAUGAAGGGUAAGCUUCACUUUAUUAUAACCCUCCUCUGUUUUUUAAUUGUCAAUGAUUUCAAGAAUAAUUUUAGAACGCAAGUUAUGCUGGAUCCUACAUAUAAUAAUAUGUAGUGGAGAAGGAUGUGACGGACAAGGUAAUAUAUCUUUAAGUAUGAAUGCUGAAAGAAAAGGGACAGAGAGACUUGAGAACUUACAUUUCAAGAGUUUGUAAAGUGAGAUUCUGGCGAAUGCCCAUGUGAUUGUUGUCAAGCAUUUCUCCUCCGUCUCAAAGAUUUUUCAGCUGACGGGAAUACUUAUCUAUGGGCCCUGUGAGUCUGUGACCAUGUAGCAGGCGUUCAGUGCCGUGGAGGCUUAGGUGCCCCAAACAAGUGGUCUGACAUCUCUUGAUCUUCCAGACCACAUAUUUGCUCAGCCUCUUCCACUUUUGUGCAGCAUUGGUGCCAAUUUGUUUGUCACUCCUGCUGGUACAGAUUCUUUAGGUAUCUACAUAAUCUUACUCCAACCUGAAACUCAGGCCGAGUGGAUUUAAUUAAAUACCAACAGAGUACAAAUGUCCAAAAUUGAAUAUAGAAAAUAAAUAUGCAAAUCAAAGAACAAGUCGAAAAUAAGAGUUCAUCUUGGAAAAUUCUCUCAUAAAAGUAUUUUUAAGUAAGAGUAUUAUGGUUCUGAAGAUGAUGCUUUUACUUGUAAUCGUGUAUUGAACAGGGAUGAUAUGUUUGGAUGGUCAUGAUUUAAAGACCCUUCAGGUGAAGUGGUUGAGGAGUCAGAUAGGCAUGGUAGGCCAAGAACCACUGCUGUUUACCACCACAAUACUUGAGAAUGUGAUGAUGGGGAAAGAAAAUGCCACCAAGAAGGAGGCAAUUGCUGCUUGUAUAGCGGCCAACGCUCACAACUUCAUCUCUAGCCUUCCCCAAGGCUAUGACACUCAGGUGCUACAUUUAGGCUUGUUAGUUAAUACUGUUAUAUACAAUGUUAGGACCUCAUAUAUAGAUUAAGUUGCUUACCUAACAAAAUAAGAACCCCUCAAGAUGCAGGAGGGAAAGAACCCAGGACCUCCUGGUUCACACCAAGUGCCCUGACCAACUUUAUGGUGGUUGCUAGUAGCUCAGAAAGAACUACUACUAAUAAUAAAUAUCUAACUCAUAUCAAGCGUGCUGCUGCUAACCUUAUACAAUGUCAUGUUCAUGAUCAGGUAGGUGAUCGAAGCGUCCAACUUUCUGGAGGACAGAAGCAACGGAUUGCUCUAGCUCGAGCAAUGAUCAAAGAUCCCAGAGUUCUACUUUUGGAUGAGCCAACUAGCGCCUUAGACCCUGAAUCUGAGGCCAUUGUCCAACAAACCAUUGAUAAAAUCUCCACCAAGCGUACAACCCUCGUCAUUGCCCAUAGACUAGCAACUGUCAGAAAUGCUCACACCAUAGUUGUUACCAACCAUGGAACCAUAAUUGAGAUGGGUAAUCACCGUCAACUAAUGGACCAAGCUGGAGCUUACUCUGACCUCGUCAAGCUUGCCUCCCAAACAGUCUCACAACCUAAUCCCAAAACAAAUGUCGACAUGGGGCACUACACCUAUGAGAAUUCAGUUCAUGAUGUUUCGAGGUCAAAGUACAUGCAUGAUGUCUCGAUAUCCAAACACGAAAAAUCCAUGCUAGAUGAAGAGGACGAGGAUGUUGUUGAAGAAUACCAAAAAACACCCAAUAAGAUCCAGCUCUCCAAAGUAUGGAAGUUACAAAGGCCAGAGAUUCCAAUGCUCUUAUUAGGCUUUUUGCUGGGAAUGCAUGCUGGUGCAGUUCUAUCUGUAUUUCCUUAUUUUCUAGGCCUAGCCCUUGAAAUAUAUUUCAAGGAUGAUACUGCGGUGAUGAAAAGGCAAGUUGGGUAUCUUUCUUUAUCCCUUGUGGGAUUAGGCAUUGGCUGCAUUAUAGCAAUGACCGGCCAGCAAGGUUUCUGUGGCUGGGCUGGAACAAAACUCACAACGAGGGUGAGGGAUCUUCUAUUCCAAUCAAUAUUGAAGCAAGAACCAGGUUGGUUUGAUUUUGAAAAAAAUUCAACUGGAGUACUGGUUUCUAGGCUUUCCAUUGACUGUGUUAGCUUUCGGUCUGUCCUUGGAGAUCGUUUUUCAGUUUUACUCAUGGGUAUAAGUUCAGCUUGCGUUGGUCUAAUUAUCUCAGCAUCAUUGAGUUGGAGGCUGACUCUCCUUGCGGCUGCUCUCACUCCCUUCACCCUCGGCGCGAGUUAUUUCAGCUUGAUUAUUAACGUAGGACCUAAGUUAGACAAUAGCUCUUAUGCACGAGCUAGUAGUAUUGCUGCCAAUGCGGUCUCAAAUAUAAGAACUGUGAUGACAUUUUCGGCUCAAGAACAACUAGUUUCAUCUUUCGAUCAAGCCUUGUCAGAACCGAGGAGCAAAUCAAUGAAGAGGUCACAAAUCUUAGGAUUAGCCCUUGGGUUUUCUCAAGGAUCCAUGUAUGGAGCUUACACUCUUACUCUCUGGUUUGGCGCCUACCUAGUAAAGAAAGACCUUGCAAAUUUUGGCGAUGUGUACAAAAUUUUCUUGAUCUUAGUUUUGAGCUCAUUCUCAGUUGGGCAAUUAGCUGGUCUUGCGCCUGACACAUCAAAUGCGCCAUCAGCUGUUCCUGCAGUUCUCGAUAUCAUUAACCGUAAGCCAUUGAUUGAUGGCGAUCAACAGAAGGGAAGGAAGCUAGAUGGUUCAAAACUGUUAAGUAUUGAAUUCAAGAUGGUGACUUUUGCAUAUCCAUCUAGACCUGAAAUCACAGUUUUAAGUGAUUUUUCAUUAAAAGUCAGAGGAGGAACUAUGGUGGCCUUAGUAGGGGGGAGUGGGUCUGGGAAAUCAACUGUGGUAUGGCUAGUUCAGAGGUUCUAUGAUCCAAACCAAGGGAAGAUCAUGAUGGGAGGAAUGGAUUUGAGGGAUAUUAAUCUAAAAUGGUUAAGAAAACAAACAGCUUUGGUUGGACAAGAGCCUGCAUUGUUCGCUGGAACCAUAAGGGAGAAUAUCGCAUUUGGAGACCAAAAUGCUUCUUGGUCUGAGAUUGAAGAAGCUGCACAAGAAGCUUACAUUCACAAAUUCAUAUGCAGUUUGCCUAAAGGGUAUGAAACACAGGUAUGAAAUCAAUUGCAACUACUCGUUUCAUUAUAGUUUGUUCACUUAUUAAAUUCUGGCAUUUACAAUUAAUUCUUUUCAGGUGGGAGAAAGUGGAGUUCAACUAUCAGGUGGCCAAAAGCAAAGGAUAGCAAUAGCAAGAGCGAUUUUAAAGAAAUCCAAGAUACUACUAUUGGAUGAAGCAAGUAGCGCACUAGACAUAGAAUCAGAAAAGCAUGUCCAAGCAGCAUUACGAAAGGUAUCAAAGAGAGCAACCACAAUUGUAGUUGCUCAUAGGCUCUCUACCAUCAGAGAGGCUAAUUGCAUUGCAGUAGUUAAAGAGGGAGCAGUCAUUGAGUUUGGCAGUCAUAAUGAACUCAUGGCCAUGCAUUUAAAUGGCGCGUAUGCUAAUCUAGUUAGAAAAGAAAUGGAAGCUAAUGCACUAAAUUAGAAUCAUUCUUGCUAUGUUACCAUGUAUCAUUCAUGUCAACUGAAAAUCAAACUUCUGUGUAUAUUUCAAUAUUAUCUUGUUUAAUUCAACAGAAUAGUCUGUUUUAACUUAGUGAUACCAUCACCGCCACCUCUACCGACCUCACAAGACCAACCACUGCACCACUACCAUGCCACAUUGUUUGAUUAAUCAUUUCAGUUUCUACAAUCACUCAACUCAACCAAAAAUGCAGCACAGGACAUAGUCCAUAGUCCAAUAAAUGGCCAAAUAUAUUAUAUAAUUGUUUUACUUGAAAUAAAUAUAUGUUGUACAAAAGAAAUAAAGUAUUGAGUGUAUGUACAACUUACCUAGAGGCUAGAGUCCUCGAAAGAACUAGACAAAAGAGCACUCAGGAGUCAUGGUCACCCAAAGGAAUUAAUAUCACACCAACCAUUUCUUCCUCUACCUUCAACAAACUCUUGUGAAAGACACAAGAGUUUCCAUUGUUAUCUUGUGAAAGAUGACAAAAGCAAAGAUUACUGAUAAGAGUGAGAAGAAGAAAAUUGGAAGAUGGGGUUGGUUUAUUGUUGUUGCUAGUGCUAUAUUGGCUUUGGGUUUGGCUUUUUUUGCUUCAAAUAUCUCAAUUCUCACUCAACAUACCAAUUCUUCCAACAAAGCGGUACAUCUUUCUCUCUUUAUCUUUCUUCUUCUUGAAUUCUUAAUAGUGCCCUUACAGUUUUUUGACUGCAAAAAUAA